rnacentral:rRNA from 1 species
GAUGAACGCUGGCGGCGUGCCUAAUACAUGCAAGUCGAGCGAACAGAUCAGGAGCUUGCUCCUUUGACGUUAGCGGCGGACGGGUGAGUAACACGUGGGUAACCUACCUAUAAGACUGGGAUAACUUCGGGAAACCGGAGCUAAUACCGGAUAACAUUUGGAACCGCAUGGUUCUAAAGUGAAAGAUGGUUUUGCUAUCACUUAUAGAUGGACCCGCGCCGUAUUAGCUAGUUGGUAAGGUAACGGCUUACCAAGGCGACGAUACGUAGCCGACCUGAGAGGGUGAUCGGCCACACUGGAACGGAGACACGGUCCAGACUCCUACGGGAGGCAGCAGUAGGGAAUCUUCCGCAAUGGGCGAAAGCCUGACGGAGCAACGCCGCGUGAGUGAUGAAGGGUUUCGGCUCGUAAAACUCUGUUAUUAGGGAAGAACAAACGUGUAAGUAACUGUGCACGUCUUGACGGUACCUAAUCAGAAAGCCACGGCUAACUACGUG